AGAGGCAUUUGUGCCAUACAAAGGUGUUAUCAUGCAAAGACGUGUCAUUACUAUAAUUUGCUGCAACAAGGAACAACGUGAACUACUUGACAAGCCUGGGUAUUGCAAUGGGUCCCUCUGUUCUCCAAUGUACGUCACUUCCGGUGAAAA